rnacentral:rRNA from 1 species
GAUGAACGCUGGCGGCGUGCCUAACACAUGCAAGUCGAACGGAGACGGAGCUGGAAGGGACAGUUUACUGUAACGGAAAGAUCUGUCUUAGUGGCGGACGGGUGAGUAACGCGUGGGCAACCUGCCCUGUACCGGGGGAUAACACUUAGAAAUAGGUGCUAAUACCGCAUAAUAGGGAAUACCGCAUGGUAAUCCUUUGAAAACUCCGGUGGUACAGGAUGGGCCCGCGUCUGAUUAGCCAGUUGGCGGGGUAACGGCCCACCAAAGCGACGAUCAGCAGCCGGCCUGAGAGGGUGGACGGCCACACUGGGACUGAGACACGGCCCAGACUCCUACGGGAGGCAGCAGUGGGGAAUAUUGCACAAUGGGGGGAACCCUGAUGCAGCGACGCCGCGUGAGUGAAGAAGUAUUUCGGUAUGUAAAGCUCUGUCAGCAGGGAAGAAGAAAGACGG